rnacentral:miRNA from 1 species
CGAAGGGUAACGGGAGGUGACAGAAGAGAGUGAGCACACAUGGUGUUUUUCUCCCAUGAUGGACUCCUGCAUGCUUGAAGCUAUGCGUGCUUACUCUCUUUCUGUCACCCCAUCUCUCUCUCU